AAUAAGGAGUCGAGGGGCGGGGGAAGAGGGAGCAAGGGAGGGAGGGAGUCGCCACCUCAAAUCCACGCCGGACCAGGAAUCUCCAGCCCACAACCUGAUCCCUGCCCUCCCCAAGAGCGGACCGGCUACCAGAUUAGGCCACAGUUGUUCAUCUGUUCAAAUGAAAGCCUGGCUGCUGUGCAAUCCGAAGCUCUCCAGGACUGGGGUGUUGAAGGGAAACUGCUGGCUGCAAAGCACAGGUAAGAGGUUGCAUUUCAGGACUGUACUUUUCUUUGUGUGUGAGCAUAUUCCCUGUUUAAAGGA
rnacentral:lncRNA from 1 species